UAGCUAGCAUUGGCACUAUUGAUUUGCAUUUUUUUUUUUUUUUUACAGUGAUCACUACACCAUGGCAGAUGGUGGCGAGUUGGAUAACUAUAUUAUAAUCUAUCCUACUGCCAGUAUGAUUUUUUCUUGCUUGAUGUGAAUUUUAUCGGUGUUUUAAAAGGCAAUCUAGCUACUAUAGCUAGCUAUGUCAAGGGGAUUUAUUAUGCUAUUUAAAUUGUAGUUAAUUGUUUUCCAGCAGCUAGGUCGAUUGCUAUUCAUGUUAUGCUUGUAAAUGAUUAGCUAGUUAUGUUGUACUGUUAUUCAAUCAAUUGUAGCAUUACUAGCUAAAUCUCACUUAGCGACUGAAUUGUUGUUGAGAGAUUCAGCAAGGUAAUGUAACACCAAACAAGUAGGGUGUUAUUUUUGGGUCGCAGCUGCUGGAAAUUCAAAGUUUGGGGGAGGAUAGAGUGUGUGAGAGAUACAGUGAGAAUAGAGAUUGAUGUGUGUGCACCAUUGAUAGUAAAAUAAUGUGCGUGCAUGAGAGAUCCUGUGCGCACUUGUCUGUGGUCAAAGGGCAGCUAUAACAGUUUCUCCCACUGAGACAAGAUACUACUGAGUCAGCAGGUCAACCCAGGACACAUGAGACGUGCAUUGGAUGAGCUGUUGAAGGAGACCAAUAGGGCUGGGUGCAAGCAGAAACCAUGGGUCCAGCAGGCUGGAUGAAGUAUCCGCUGCGCAGCACUAACAAGAGUUUCCUGCUCAACACCAUUCCACAGCGCCGCCCUGCUGGCCACUCAGGAGAACAGACAUCAAAUAGUAGGGGGCAGGACACCACCCAGAGACAAUUGGGAAUACAAAGACCACAGGGGACACAGGGACAAAGACAAUCAUAGAGACAGCCGAGAACUUUGUCUCUUUUGUGUCCAUCUUUAAGACUAAGAUAGCAACACAGGCCAAGACAGCUACAAAGACAGAAGGGACAAUGACAAUGACAGAGGCAGCCAUAGAGACAAGAAACACUGACAUAAAGAGCCUCUGGUCACAAAAGAGACUUUGUCCCCAAAACACACAGUCCCCAUGAAGGACACUCCCCUUCUUCUAGACCAGGGUUUCCCAACCUCGGUCCUGGACCCCCCUGGGGGCAUGUUUUUUUUCCCCCCAGCUGAUUCAAAUAACCAACUCAUCAUCAAGCUUUGAUUAUUUGAAUCAGCUGUCUAGUGUUAUGGCAAAAACCAAAACGUGCACCCAGGAGAGGCCUCAGGACCGAGUUUGGGAAACCCUGUUGUAGAGACCGCUCUCUCCACUGACAGUAGCUCCUCCUCCUCAGUCCACUCCAGGGCAAGCUCUCACUCCAUAGGCCACACCUUCUAUCAAUCAAACCAGUGCAGCAGACCACGCUCACCUGUCAAGGACACGCCCAGUGGAAGGAGCCACGUAUGACAUCAUAACCUUGGAGGGAGUGCUGUAACGUUGUUACCCAGAGGAGCCCCCCCCCCCCCCUCAAAUACAUAAAUAUACCCAUUGAAUGACUGGAAAGAGAGUUUGUUUGUUUUAGAAUGUGAGAAAGACUGUGGUUGCUGUUGUAAGGUUGUGACAAGUAUAACUAAUUAAAUUGUCUUUGUUUCUUCUGA